ensembl:lncRNA
GAAACAGUAACAUUUGCAUUCAUCACAGUUGUGCAACACCUGCAUCUGUACCUUGGCUGUUAAGACAAAAUAAACUUCAUUGUUCCCUCACUGGGGAAAUUUACAUGUUACAGCAGCUAAAUGCAAACACAGAAUGGGGAAAGCAAGUCAAAAAAUACAAAACUGCAAUAAAGAUAUAAGGUUAUGUUUACAUUUUGCAUACAGAUGAGGCGUAAUGAAUUUACAGACUCGUAAAGGUAUGCAGGUCAUGAACAGGUGAGGUAAGGGUUAACCAAAGCAUUUCAUAAACUGAAGUCAGAAACAAACACAAAGAAGCUCAAAAAACUAAACGGGUCAUUCCAGAAUUGGAGGGCAUUUUACGUCCCACCCAUGAAAUUUCAAAUAGACCAUGAACAAAUUACUAAAAUAUGCAGUUGUUGUGUAAAUUGACUUGUCCUGAGACCAAAUCUAAAAAAAACUAGGAGAAAAUAAUGUUUGAAAAUAUUUUUUAAAAUACCAAAUAGGUCUAGAGUUCCCCUAAAAUGCCAUUUCUCUCUUGUCCCACCCCCUGAUGACCAGAUUGAAUCUCAGAUAAAACUAUUAAAAUUAAAUUUAAAUCUCCUUUUUGUUACAGCUUGGCUCAUAGCCUGCAACAAAGCAGGGAGACAAACGCAGUGUGGUGUCUAAAAGUUAGUUUAUUGUAGCCAACCAAUCCAAAAAGUGCACAACAAACCACAACUGAAAAGCCCAGAAGCACACGGCUGAAGCUCCACAGGCUGAAGCUCCACAGGCUGAAGCUCCACAGGUAGCAGAUCCACAGGCAGAGAGCUGCUGUAGAAGUGGAGAAGGUUGAACCCAGGUGUGGCUCAUCAGCUGACAACCAUCAGCUCCAGAAAGACAGGCACACCUGUCCAGGUGGAGGGUCGUCACACCUUUUAUUUGAUUUUUUUUCAUUGAUGUCUCUU